rnacentral:rRNA from 1 species
AUUGAACGCUGGCGGCAGGCCUAACACAUGCAAGUCGAGCGGAUGAGAGAAGCUUGCUUCUCGAUUCAGCGGCGGACGGGUGAGUAAUGCCUAGGAAUCUGCCUGGUAGUGGGGGACAACGUUUCGAAAGGAACGCUAAUACCGCAUACGUCCUACGGGAGAAAGCAGGGGACCUUCGGGCCUUGCGCUAUCAGAUGAGCCUAGGUCGGAUUAGCUAGUUGGUGAGGUAAUGGCUCACCAAGGCGACGAUCCGUAACUGGUCUGAGAGGAUGAUCAGUCACACUGGAACUGAGACACGGUCCAGACUCCUACGGGAGGCAGCAGUGGGGAAUAUUGGACAAUGGGCGAAAGCCUGAUCCAGCCAUGCCGCGUGUGUGAAGAAGGUCUUCGGAUUGUAAAGCACUUUAAGUUGGGAGGAAGGGUUGUAGAUUAAUACUCUGCAAUUUUGACGUUACCGACAGAAUAAGCACCGGCUAACUCUGUGCCAGCCGCCGCGGUAAUAC